rnacentral:lncRNA from 1 species
GCAGUGCGGCUUUGUGUCUUUAACCCUCAGUAGUGAGUUCUCCACAAUGAGAAGAAGGAGCUUCCAGAGUGAGGCAUUCCUUCCUCCAGGUUGAACAUAGUCACCUGAAGGCAGUAUGCAGUGGUGGUGAAGAGCUCUGGCUCUGGAGUCGGACAGGCCUGCAUCCAGAUCCCAGCUCUACCACUUGCCAGGCUAAGCCUCAGUUUCCUCUCCUGUAAAUGGAUGUCAGGGAAUCCCUAUCUUGGGAUAGUUGUGAAAAUUCAAUGAGAUCAUGCACGAAAAUCUCAGCACUGGACCUGGUGCUGGUGUCUGCUCAAUGCGUGGUAAUUAAAAGAGAAAAGGGUGAUAUAUUUAGAUGUUAAAACCCCACUUAGACUAGGCUAAGUUUCCCACUUCUGCCCUGGACCCCACUGCAGCCCCUCCAUGAUGGACAGGGACUGGUGAGCCUGUGACCCCUUCAGCUCUCGGGUCUGCAUCUGAUCAUACCUCAGCCAUGGCCAUGUGAGUCGUCUCCAUGCAUGCAGCAGGUGCUUAAUACAUGCUUGUGAAGUUAACUGACAAAAAUAGCUACUGUUUCUCAGACAUUUCCUGACAUUUAUAUAGUGCCCCCACAGUUUACAGAGCACCCUGUAAGUUCAUCUAUGGAGCAAAAUCUUUUUUUGUUUGUUUUUUUUUGAGACAGAGUUUCGCUCUUGUUGCCCAGGCUGGAGUGCAAUGGCACCACCUCGGCUCACCGAAACCUCCGUCUCCUGGCUGAGGCAGGAGGAUGGUACGAACCCAGGAUGUGGAGCUUGCAGUGAGCCGAGAUCACGCCACUGCACUGCAGCCUGGGUAACAGAGUUAGACUCCAUCUCAAAAAAAAAAAAAAAAAAUUAGCCUGGCAUGGUGGUGGGCGCCUGUAACCCUAGCUACUUGGGAGGCUGAGGCAGGAGAAUCGCUUGAAACCCGGAAGGCAGAGGUUGCAGUGAGCUGAGCGCUCACGUCACUGCACUCCAGCCUGGGAGACAGAGCGAGACUCUGUCUCAAAUAAAUAAAUACGUAAGUAAGGGCAGGCAGCGAGGCUGCAGGGUUGGGGAGAGGGGUUAGAGUUGUUAGAAUCCUUUGUGGGCUCUUCUAUUUGCACGCCUCCAGAGAGGAGCAAGCUUUGUUUGCAGGUCCGAGUAUCAAGUCAAACCCCCUUCCUUAGGUUCCCAUUAAUGGCCACAAUGUAUGGCGCACUUCUAUGUGCCAGGCCCUGUGCAAAGCGCUUUAGGUGCAUGAUUUCAUUAA